AUUGAACGCUGGCGGCGUGCCUAACACAUGCAAGUCGAGCGGUAACAGGUGUAGCAAUACAUGCUGACGAGCGGCGAACGGGUGAGUAAUGCUUCGGAAUCUGCCCAUGUAGUGGGGAAUAACCAGCCGAAAGGUUGGCUAAUACCGCAUACGACCCUUGCCCACAAGGCAAAGGUGAAAGCAGGGGAUCGCAAGACCUUGCGCUAUUGGAUGAGCCGAAGUCGGAUUAGCUAGUUGGUAGGGUAACGGCCUACCAAGGCGACGAUCCGUAGCUGGUCUGAGAGGACGACCAGCCACACUGGGACUGAGACACGGCCCAGACUCCUACGGGAGGCAGCAGUGGGGAAUAUUGGACAAUGGGGGCAACCCUGAUCCAGCGACGCCGCGUGUGUGAAGAAGGCCUGCGGGUUGUAAAGCACUUUUAG
rnacentral:rRNA from 1 species